UUCAUUCUGUUAAAGUUAUCUCAGGAAAGAAAUGGUUUGUGGCUGGGACAUCUGAUGGUGUGAUCCAUGUGUACAAUUACGACAACAGAAUACAAAAACUCAGAAGUUUCAGAGCCGCCAGUGAUUGCUUCAUCACAUCAAUGGCCGUCAAUCCAACCCGUUCGUAUGUACUGUCAUCGGCUUAUCAUGAUAUAAAGCUCUGGGACUGGAGCAAGGGCUGGGAGUGCACAAAAUCAUUCGUCCAAGAACACACCGAUACUGUAAGUCAGGUCGCAUUCAACCCAAUGGACACCAACAUUUUGUGCUUCAGAUGAUCACACAGUAAAGGUUUGGAGCAUUGGUUCUCCCGAAUCAAAAUAUACUUUGUAUGGGCAUCUGGACAAAGUGAACUGCCUUGAUUUCUUCAAAUGUAAUGAUCGACAGUAUUUGAUUACUGGCUCUGAUGAUCACACUGCUAAGAUAUGGGACAUGGAAGAAAAGGCUUGUGUUCAUACAAUGGAAGCUUUCGUGUCUCCAGUAACUUCUGUCAUUGCCCUCGCCGAUAGCCCAUACCUAAUUACAGGUUCAAAAGAUGGCUCCGUUCAUUUCUGGAGCUCCGGUGAAUUCAGGUUCCACUAUCAAACAAUACAGCAUCCAAGAAACAAAAACUGGCUCAAACGUGCUUUUGCCACUUCACACAACCCAAACCUUCCAGCUGCCACACAAAACAGAAAGAGAUUUAGCCUUACAAACCGUGUUUACUUUGCUCUCACCUCUGCUCCUUACUGAUGUUUUUGGUUUUCUUUUUUGCAAGUGAUUUCUGCAUGGUUCCUAGGCUGGAGAGAAUCGUUAACUUUGGCUCUGGUGGAGCUAUUUGGGGUCUCGGACGUUUCAUGGGGUCAAGAAGGAUUGUGAUCGGACAAGAGUACACAGUGUCAAUCAUGGCCAUCGACAAUGAAGACCAAAACGCUGUCAUGUUCGAGACAAAACAUAUUUCUCUGAUGAGAUAGUAGAUAAGGAAGUAUUCACUAGCUAGCUGAACAUUAUGUUGCAUUCUGUCCAGUGCUAAAUCUAGAGUGCAAGGGUAGAUGAUCAAGACAAACAGAAAGUCAUAUAUAUAUUUUUAACCAUCCGUAUGCAGCUGUCCUUGUCGUGUGAAGAUCUGAGUAUAUUGAUAAAGAUGAUGAUAAUUAAGUUUAUCUGUAUAAUUGAGAAUUUUUGGAUGGAUAUAAUUAAGAUUUAGUUUUGCUCAUUUUCUUAAACUUGUUUCAGAAGUAUAUAAUGAGAUGGAGUGUGCUGGUUGUACUCGGGUAAAAAAGCUAAAGAAAUGUUGCAUGAUGCCUCUGUUACAUUAGAACGUACACGAAGGGGAGAUUAUGCAUGGAGCCGGACGCAAAUACUGAAGGUGUUAUAGUUUAAGACUUUAGGUGGUCUAAUACUUCAUGUAUGGGGCCAUGGGAGCACAAAAGGAACUAGCUAAAUUUUGGGUGGAGAUGGAUGGUUUUGCAAGCGGAGGAUGCCAGUGAUUGUGUCUACAUCACACCACUGCAUGUCCACUACACCAUAAGUGUGCCAUCUUCUACUUCCAUAGAUUUUUGGCCUUCCAAUGCUGCAACUAUGGGUCUCCACUCUCUUUUUUUACAGUAUAUGGGCGUCCUAUUAGCAGUCAUUUGUGACUUCAAAUGUUUUUGAAUUUUAGAAAUUAGAAAUGAUCAUUGCCGACAAUGAACGAAUAAAAACGGAGAUUUUGAAUCUUAGCGAGUCGAUGGGCAAUACCGUACCCACUACAUUGCCUGGCACACAGCUGGAAGGAUAUUCCAUCCUUGCCUUUCAUCCUUUGGUACAGAAGCGUGGGUACUAACUGUGCUGAAAGGUAGGCCAAUAUUGAUGAGUUGAAGGAGAGAAAUAACUACCACACCACCCAGCAACUCGCACCUUCCAGUUAUGUUAUUUGUUUAUGCAGGGUUGUACUGGUUAGUAGUUAGUAUAUGAAAAAGCAUGUUUAUGCUCCUUUUUUUCUCAUUUCCAGGAAAUAGUUCAUGUUGUAUGUGUUGCUGAAUUUUUGUUUUGGUGAUAUAGAGGUACUAUCUCAACCGGGCUCAAGCUCGGCCACACCGUUUCACUGUAGCUGCUUAUCUGAGUCUCUAUCAUCUUCUUCGCCUUCAGUUCAGAAAUCCUCUCGGUUUCCUUCUCUGCUCCCCUUCCUUGUGCUCUCUGACCCGAAUAUUGGUUGAUGUGGAUCUUGUGAUGCAAGCGUCGAUCUAUCGCUCUUGUGACGUCAGCCAUCAAGCUAUGGCUCUUGUGACACCGGCCAUGGAGCUGGGGCAAGAUUGUUUGGUUGUGAUGUUCAUAGUGAUGUGGUAUUGUCAUGCUCUAAGGAGAGAUUCAGAGAAAAUUAUAGAAGUUAGUAUUAGAUGAUAAUAAUGUCAUGUCGGAAUACAUGUUAGCUACACAGGUGUACCCUGCAAGAAAUUACUUUACAAUGGAAAUGAACUGCGACAUCCCUAAAAAUAGACUUCAGUCUUGGGAGUUAAGAAUUGUUGUGGUGUUUCUCUGAAGCGGUAUGUCAUGUCUGAAUGCUUUCUUAAUUUAGGUGUACAUGUAGAUAAGAGAAAAAACUGAAACACACUAAUUCUAAGAUCAGGUUUGGGCAUACAAAUGGCUCUCAAUUAUAUAGAAAAGCAGAAAUAUGUACUGUCGUAGCAUAUGUUCUGGUUGAGGGUGAACAUGUUAUGUAUAGGAGUAUCCAUUGACAACAAUAGAAAGGUUCUGAUUUUGGAUUUUGUCAAGUUCUGUUUGAGAUUGAAUUAUACUUCCACUGCACUAUUUUUUGUUGUUAAUUUCGAAAUUUUUGUCAUGAAUUUUGGACAUCCAUAAGUGUUUUGGAAUUGUUAAGGGUUGUCAGCAAAUAUUUUAUUAUACUAACACUUAUAGGAUUAUUAAAUACUAACACUUGAUUAGAAUUAUCCAAAAUUCACGCCACAUCAACUAGAUGUUAGUUUAUAAGAUAUUAGUUGUAUCAUUGCUCUCCAUGCAUACUAAGUUGCCACUUCGCAUCCUGCCAAAACCUAAUCCUCUUAUUCUCUAGCUAAAGUUGGGCUCCUUAAGAAAAUAUGAUACUUCUACUUCGACACAAAAAUAGUGGUAAUGACUAUCUUUUCUAUAAACAUGAAAUUUGGUGUGCAUUAUGUUUAUAUACACAAUGACAAAGAAAGCUAAAGGGUUGUGGUAAUGCACGGGCAUUCAAAUUUGAAAGCAUAAUAAAUGUGUUGGUUAACACUUCAUCAUCAAUUUAAAGAUCAAACAAUAUGAGUGGAAUCAAUCAUUCCUUCUAUAUUGUUUUUUCUAUAUAUCUCCCAAACAAACAAAGUGAGUUUGUUCUUGAUUUUUUUACAGAUCUACAUAUUAACAUACCACUUUAUAUACGACGUAGGCUCCGGCGAGAAAUACCUCGCUACGAUGGGAAUGGGAGGGUCCUGCAGGAAAAGGGAAGGGUGCAUCGUGGGGUGGGUUUUUUGUGUAGGGACCAUGUGUCAGAGAUAACAUGGCCGAUAGUCUGGACAAACGCAUUUCUUCCUCAUAUAUGGUGUGAUUCGUCGGAACCUGGACUGUUCAGAUGGUUGAAUUUUGGGGAGCCUGCUAGCCACCCGUUUAAUGUAUGAACAUACACAAUGAGCGAUAAAUGAGAUUCAACCUUGAAGACGACCUUAACCACUGGUUUGAUUCAUUUGUAUGCACUGUAGCCCGUAGCAACGCACGGGCAUUCUACUAGUAUAUGAAUAGGUGGGCACACGCCCAGAAGAGCAAAACAUACACGACAUCACACCUAGCAAUCAACACGCGCCUUCACACGUCACAUCACGCGCACAACAGAUUGAAGGCAGAUCGACACAAGCCAAUGACAACCAGUUGCAUCGGCAAGGUCGACGCCUCCCCAGGACGCCCAGCACAUCAAAGGCCCGAAGAAGAAACAACAAAAACAUCAUCAAAUUUGGGUAACAACAUAUCCACACAUGUCGAGGACGAUCAGUUGCACCGGCAAGAUCGGCAGGACACCCGGCGUAUCCAAGGGAAUGGCAAGACGACCGACACAUCGAAGGCCUGUAGAAGGAACAAUAGAAACAUCAUCUACUAUGGGUAGUAUAUAUAACUGCUUGAUGUCUGCUCAAAUCUUCCCAUCACAGCUUUCUUCGCAACUUCCUUACAAACACCCUAUUUUCAUGUUCAUUGUUUAGUUAGAACAUUUUUUAAACCAAAAUUUUAUUGGUGCAUUAUCAGAUGAAUCACUCUUUUUUAUAAUUGUUUUGAAGGCAACAACCUAUGGCGUACAAGAAGUUGAGUGAGCUAACCACAAGAGGACACACAUUGAAUAAUAAAGCCAAAGUAAUGAGAAUGUGGGAUUCAAUCAACCCUUCACCUGAUGAACUUAUAAGCAUUGAUAUGAUCUAGAUGGAUGAGCAGGUAUUUUCUUCACAUUAUAACAAUGGUAUUUCUUCUACUAUCAAAAUUAUUUCUAAGAUUAUCUUCAUUCAGUUUUGAAGGGUGAUACAAUUCAUGCUACUAUCUAGAAGAAUCUAAUGGAAACUUAUAGAUCGAAGAUCAACGAGGGUUCCAUAUAUGCUUUUAGCAAUUUUAAAGUUGUAGAUCCGACAAAAGAUCGCCCAGUCAACGAAGAAACUAAAAACAAUUCUAUACAAAACAGACCUAACGAAGAUGAAAGGUUCCUCGGAUAAUUUUCCAGAUUAGUACUUCGAGUUUGCUAGCAAAGAUACCCUACAAGAACAGCUAGAAAAAUACCAACAAUGCUCAGGUAUGUUGGUAGUCAUAUUUCUUACUUCCAAGUGGUUAUUUUUAAUUUGAAGUCAUAUGUUGGUAGUUGUGCUAAUAUACUCCCAAUGAUUAACUUUCUAAUUUUGAAGUCAUUAAUCUUAAAAUUUGCAGAUGUCAUUGGGUUCUUACCAAGAUUAAACCAAUAGAAUCAAGGAUGACAACAACAAAACAACAACUUUAGAUAUACGUGAGAUCGGAAUUCUUAUGCGAGAAUAAGUGUAUAUCUAUGCGUCAACUUUUCAUUAAUAAGGUUGUUUUCUUUAUUUGAUGAAGAGGCUGAAAGUUUCAAUAUAUCAGUCUCAUUCCUGUUGACUUUCUUAGACGGAAGAUCUGAAGAAGUCGCAAAGAUUAUAUGUGAAUUAUGUGGACAAAGACUUAUCUUUCGGUUCAAACUCAACAAUAAGAACUUCACUCUAGGUAUACAAAACUAUACAGUAAAAAAACAUUUGUGCCUCAUGAGAGGCUUGAAAAGCGAUACUUAGACGAUAAAGCUGAAGAGGUGAUGGUUGAUUAAAUCAUUAAAUUUAUUAUUUGUACACCAAUUAUUAUACCCUUUUUAUAUGAAACAAUGGAAGCAGAUAUUUAUGUUCUUUAUCCAUUGUGCUCAACAGGAUUUGAUGGAUGAUGAGGCGGACAUGUUAAAACAAGAAUCAAAUAAACAGAAUGAGCCAGUUAAAAAGCAAAUGUGAGCUUACCAAGAACACAUGCGAGUUGGUCCCUGCGAAAUAGGAUCCAGAAGAUAAAACGGGAGUACAGAACCUCAGAAGGAGCAUCAACAUAAAAAUACAUCAACAAGUGUCGGUAGCAGAAAAAUAAG